AAUUUCUGCCAUUAUGUUCAUUCCUGUGCACACUCUCAGGCUGCCACACAGCCCCAUCCUGCUCCGUGAUAGCUCUGAACUAUGGCGUCUUCUGAAGUCCCACCUACUCUUGCACACCCACGCAGGAAGCCAGAGGAGCAGAGUACAAGCACCUCAUGACUGCCUGCAGGUGUCCUUCCCCACCGUUCCUGGGCAGCCAACAGCCUUUGUGACAUUUCAGACUCCUGCUCACUCCCCUGCCCACCCACAGAGAGACGUAUCUCUUCCUCUCCACCUCUCCUCUUUCCACACCUCUGUGUCUGUGCUGUCACCAGGGGCAGGUGGCUGGAAGGAGGAGGCCUUUCUCUAUGGAUUUACACCAGUUCCUUGUGGCCGUGCUGCUCCCUGUUGGCUGGGCUCUUCAGCAAUCUCCAGAUACAGUUGUCCGGGUAGGAGACACCGUCACUCUGGAAUGUUCUGCAUCAGCGAAAAAUUUCUUUUCCAUGUCCUGGUACAAGUUACCCAUGGAGAAGAAUGCCAGUCUGCAGUUGGUUGUAUAUUCAGUGGAAGGUGGCAAAGCAGAUAUUGAGAAGGAAUUCAAAAAUCGCUUCCAGAGUAAUGGGACUAAGAACAACCAUUUAUCUGUGAAGAUACAGCAUGCCCUACUCAAUGACUCAGGCACAUAUUUCUGUGCUGAACAAGAUCCACAGUGAGUCAAAGGCUGGAGCAGCACAGCACAAACCUUUCCAGGCAAACAGGGAUGUGCCACCUGCACACGCUGAGCCCUGUGUUUGACAGAGCCCUGUAUUCUUCACUUGCCCUGCAGCUCUUCAGGAAAGAUGGUGUAUGUCUGUCUGUCCACUUGCCUGUCUUCAGCAUGGUCUCUGUCUGCUUGUCUGUUCUUUCCCAUCUCUGAAUCAACUUCUGACUCUGGUUUCUUAUUGUCCUCACUGUCUCCGCUUAUUCUCUGCCACUCACAGACAGCUUCGCACUUUCCUCGUUCCAUGUCUGUCUGUCCCCCUGUCCUUUCCUUUCUGUCCUGUUACACCUAUUCUUUCUGUAUUCCUUAUUCUGUUCUCUAUCCAUUUCUCCUUUAUUUCUAUCUGCUAUGUCAACUCAUGGUUUUUAUCUUCCUUCCUUCUCUACGGCUUUCUUCCUCUCUUUCUGGCUCGCGUUCCUGCUUCCCUCCCAGCUAUAACUCAUUUCUUCCUACAGCUUUUCUGUCUUCCCUCCUCACUUCCCGCCUUCCUCUCUCCUGACAUUCUUUUCUUCUUGGGAUUUGGGACACCCAAGCCUCAUUCUGAGACUCUGCAAGCACAAUACAUGACAUUCCAAUCAGCCUCCUGGCAAGGACCAACUCUUCAACACGGCAGAUCCAAAUACUCUACUGCAAUGCCCUGCCUUCUGCUGGCCAUCACCACCCUCAUCCCUCUUCCAUUCCUCAGGGUGAUAUAAGCAGGCUCAAAGAAAGGAUGACAUGCUGCUGCUCUAGUGUUCCAAGAGGAAGGGGGACAGGCAAAGUUUGAGGAUGAAUUUCAGAAUCAUUACAAGAACUGUUGCAAUAUAGGCUACUACUUUUCCUGUUCAAAAAGAAUAGAAAUGAUGUUCUGCUUCAGAAACAAGAGCACGUAACUGACUGAAAGAAUCCUGAUAUGAGUCUGCAAAGUGUUCCAAGACCCUGUCAAUUGAGAGGCACUACAAAUAAUAAAUAUUUUCUCUUGACUGAUGUUCACUGCUACUGUGCUCCAUAGUCUUUGGGAGUUUCCAGAGAAACAGUGCACAAAGUAGGGGUGCCUGAAAGUCUUUAUUGAUUUCUCAUAAUUUUUGCUUGUCCAAACCCAAAUGAAUAGAAAUGAUGAUGAGAUAAUACAGGCCACGCCAAGCGAGCAUCUCAGUUGGAGGCAAUGGUGGACUGGAUCCAGGAGACGUAGUUGCAAACCUUGGUGUAAACUCCAGGUAGGCCCUGCUGGG